ACCCGCCAGACUCUUACCCAUUGGUUCUAAACAUGGGUCUGAGUGGCUGUAAAAGGAGGCAAAGCAAAAGUGAAGCAGACACGGCUUCUUUCUUCUGAAAAUAUAG
rnacentral:snoRNA from 1 species